CUCGUAGGCGGUUUGGUAAGUCGGGUGUGAAAACUCUGGGCUCAACUCAGAGACGCCACCCGAUACUGCCAUGACUAGAGUCCGGUAGAGGAGUACGGAAUUCCCAGUGUAGCGGUGAAAUGCGCAGAUAUUGGGAGGAACACCAGUAGCGAAGGCGGUACUCUGGGCCGGAACUGACGCUCAGGAGCGAAAGCGUGGGGAGCGAACA
rnacentral:rRNA from 1 species